rnacentral:lncRNA from 1 species
UGUCUUUGUUGGAGUUGUUACAGCGACAGUAUGUCAUUAUUGGAGCUGUUAUAGCAGUAUGUCUUUGUUGGAUGUGUUAUAGCAGUAUGUCUUUGUUGGAGGUGUUAUAGCAGUACGUCUUUGUUGGAGGUGUUAUAGCAGUAUGUCUUUGUUGGAGGUGUUAUAGCAGUAUGUCUUUGUUGGAGGUGUUAUAGCAGUAUGUCUUUGUUUGAGGUGUUAUAUCAGUAUGUCUUUGUUGGAGGUGUUAUAGCAGCAUGUAUUGGUUAUAGACUUAUAGCAGUAUGUCUUUCUUGAAGGUGUUAUAGCAGUAUGUCUUUGUUGGAGAUGUUAUUGCAGUAUGUCUUUGUUGGAGGUGUUAUAGCAGUAUAUCUUUGUUGGUGGUGUUAUAGCAGUAUGUCUUUGUUGGAGGUGUUACAGCAGUAUGUAUUUUUUGGAGGUGUUAUAGCAACAGUAUGUCAUUAUUGGAGGUGUUAUAGCAGUAUGUCUUUGUUGGAGGUCUUAUAGCAGCAUGUAUUUGUUAGAGAGUUAUAGCAGUAUGUCUUUGUUGGAGGUGUUAAAGCAGUAUGUCUUUCUUGAAGGUGUUAUAGCAGUAUGUAUUUGUUGGAUGUGUUAUAGCAGUAUGUCUUUGUUGGAGGUGUUAUAGCAGUAUCUCGUUGUUGGAUGUGUUAUAGCAGUAUGUCUUUGUU